UAAUCUAGUUCCCUCUAACGUUACUCUGAUACGCACCUAACUUGUGAAAUACAAGUUAUUUGUGCUCGAUGUAAAGGUUACAGCCCAUUCAAAGGUUACAUGCGGACGUGCGCUGCCCUCUUACAGGUUACAUUGCGAGAGAAACAGUGGCGUUACCCCUAAGGACGGCGUUACGCUUUUGGAGAAGUUACCAGCGUUACUUAUAAAAGCGAAGUGGUCCGCAGUUUCGCGAAAGUCGGCAGGUGGAGGUUGCACGUCAAGUGGCAGUUGGCAACAGCGUGUAUCAGGAAAAAGCGGGAGGAGCGUUUCGCUUGCUGUGUGGUACCUCGCCGCUUCGACAUCCGUUGCAUUGGAAACAACGGAAUUCAAAGUCACAUACUCGCAGGUGGAUAUAUGAUGUGACGGACGCACACAGACAUUCGAAGUUUCACACAGGGACGUUGCACGGACGCCGGCUGUGAUCGUGAUGCAUUUAUUGGAGAAAUGGAUGAAAAUGGACAUGCAAUGGAAGAAGCAUGCUGUUAUUGUCACCAUGCACGAGCCAAGCAUGCAGCACUGAGUGAAACAGGUAACCCAUAGCGCAGCUCCACUGGUUCCAAAUUUGAUGGACACAGCCAUGAGUUACCUGGCAGUAUUGUGGCAGAGGGUAUCUUGUGCCACAGAAGUACAUACGAACAGUCCAGCAGAAAUACAGCAGCAGCCCAAUCCCAGUCUAUAACUCUGCAGAGGCUCAGAGAGAUAGCAGCAAACCAGGUCCUUCCCACAACUCUCCGCAAGCUCGGGAUUCGUCGCAAACCCAGCCAGCCAGCCAUGUACGAACCUAUAUUUGCCAACAUUGUAGAUUGUCGACUAGGUAUUUCCAGUGCUUUUGUGACCACGUUGUUCAGUGUGUUGGGUGUGGCUUUCUCCCUUCUUGUGAUACUUGUGGAACAACGUUUGAAACCAUCUAAAGAUACAUGUACAUCAUUUGAAUUUUUGUAUUUAGUUAAGCACACGAGUACAGGAUGACAUAACAUGACAGGAUGAGCCAGCCAACACAAUGUAUAGGUGAGCUACUUGAGCACAUGGAAAGAACAGAUCAAAGUUCGAAGAAUAAUCUGAAGAAAAAAAAAAAGGCUAUUUAUGCCAUAACCCAGAGGGCCACCACAUGUGCUCCAAGGUGGUUGUCGAUUGCGUUGUAAGCAGCAUAGAGGAAUUGUUUCAGGAAAUGGGUGUGCAGAUUGACACCCCUUUGGUAAAAUCAGAUCAGGUUCGGAAGUUGCAUUAUGAGGAACCCCUGAUUUUUUGUAACGUGCCUUAAGUGCAAAAUGCGUUGGGGUUCUUUAUCUCAUUAAACUUUCAUUUAGAUAAUUUUUCUACACGUCAUGUGAAGAUGACUACGAAUUAUCUAUUUUGCUAAAGUCAAAAAGUGACUUGUCAACUCAGUUCCGUUAUAUGUACAUUCAGUGCAAGGUGUUCUGCAGUUUAGUAAUACUCAUAUUUCAUAUAUGCCUUUUCUCUGCAUGAUCCUUCGGAGAUAUUUUGCUCCACUGAAGAAGAGACUUGUGAACUCGAUUUUGACUUUCAGUGCAAAGUGUAUUGCAUCUUGAACUUUUAAUAUUACUCCUAUUUAAUAUGUUACAAUUCAUUCUUUGAAUGGUCUUUCCAUGUGUCAUAUGAAGAUGAUAAAGAAUUUUACAGUAUAUUUUUCGAGUAUUUUGCGUAGAAUACUAUGUAGUAUGAACCGUUGAUAAUAAAGUAACGCUGUGUUUGCAAAGAAAA